rnacentral:rRNA from 1 species
CGUGUAGGCGGCUUGGAAAGUCGGAUGUGAAAUCCCGGGGCCCAACCCCGGAACUGCAUUCGAAACUGCCUAGCUAGAGUCUCGGAGAGGAGAGCGGAAUUCCCGGUGUAGAGGUGAAAUUCGUAGAUAUCGGGAGGAACACCAGCGGCGAAGGCGGCUCUCUGGACGAUGACUGACGCUGAGACGCGAAAGCGUGGGGAGCAAACAGGAUUAGAUACCCUGGUAGUCC